rnacentral:lncRNA from 1 species
AUGCCUACAGAGGCUGUUACCACCCUCCACGCUAUGCCCUUAGUAGAGAAAAUCUGGCCAGGAAACAUCCCACAUAAUGACCAGGUGCAUUAUGUGUGUAGCCUUUUGCUAGUUCAAAAGAAGGAGAUGUGGCUUCUGCUCCCAAGAAGAGAGACCCGUGAGAGUGAUGUUGGUCAUGUGAGUGUCCAGCGAGCACAGAGCUCUCUCUGGCCUGGGUUCCUUCCUUCCCUCUGCUCUCCUUGGUGUUAUGCCUCUCACUCCCUGAAAUUCUAUGCUGUCUCUCUUCUCCAGGUGCCUGUGGAUCCUUGCUUGGGAGUGAUGCAAGGGGGAAGAAUAGGGAAGGUGCAAAAGUCUAACCACCUCUUAUCCAGCAUCCUCAAGACAGGUCGGGUGGUCUACGCUCCCACCUCCAUCCAGAUAAGGAGGAUUGGUCCUGCUGUGGGCUUUGUGAGUGUGAAUUUGGAGAGGGCCCCAAGAUGCCCUGGAAGAGGCCAUGAUGGCAGAGCUGGUGAAGCUGACCACAGGCAGGAGAAAGACAUUCAGCAGUUAGUGUGGCUCACCUUUGAGAGUUUGAGGUCCAUAGAAGCCGGAAGCACUUUGUUCCAGAAUACAUUCGUCAACUCCAGAGAGACCACACCCUUGGGGCCGGAUGGAGAAGAUGGGACCGUGUUCUCUUGGAGAGCCCGGCUAGUAGGCCGAUUGGCUAGAGUUGAUUCCCAUGAGCAUUGCUGA